CCUACGGUGUGCAGCAGUGGGGACUAUUGGGCAAUGGGCGCAAGCCUGACCCAGCAACGCCGCGUGAAGGAAUAAGGCUUUCGGGUUGUAAACUUCUUUUGUCAGGGAAGUGUAGAAGACGGUACCUGACGAAUAAGCCACGGCUAACUACGUGCCAGCAGCCGCGGUAAUACGUAGGUGGCCAGCGUUGUCCGGAUUUACUGGGUGUAAAGGGCGUGUAUCCGGGUUGACAAGUCAGAUGUGAAAUCCUUCGGCUUAACCGCAGAACUGCAUUUGAAACUGUUGAUCUUGAGUACUGGAGAGGCAGAUGGAAUUCCUAGUGUAGCGGUGAAAUGCGUAGAGAUGAGGAGGAACACCAGUGGCGAAGGCGGUCUGCUGGACAGCAACUGACGGUGAGGCGCGAAAGCGUGGGGAGCAAACAGGAUUAGAUACCCUAGUAGUC
rnacentral:rRNA from 1 species